UGCUGGAGGUAUCAGAAGUGCGAAUGCUGACAUAAGUAACGAUAAAGCGGGUGAAAAGCCCGCUCGCCGGAAGACCAAGGGUUCCUGUCCAACGUUAAUCGGGGCAGGGUGAGUCGACCCCUAAGGCGAGGCCGAAAGGCGUAGUCGAUGGGAAACAGGUUAAUAUUCCUGUACUUGGUGUUACUGCGAAGGGGGGACGGAGAAGGCUAUGUUGGCCGGGCGACGGUUGUCCCGGUUUAAGCGUGUAGGCUGGUUUUCCAGGCAAAUCCGGAAAAUCAAGGCUGAGGCGUGAUGACGAGGCACUACGGUGCUGAAGCGACAAAUGCCCUGCUUCCAGGAAAAGCCUCUAAGCAUCAGGUAACAUCAAAUCGUACCCCAAACCGACACAGGUGGUCAGGUAGAGAAUACCAAGGCGCUUGAGAGAACUCGGGUGAAGGAACUAGGCAAAAUGGUGCCGUAACUUCGGGAGAAGGCACGCUGAUAUGUAGGUGAAGCGACUUGCUCGUGGAGCUGAAAUCAGUCGAAGAUACCAGCUGGCUGCAACUGUUUAUUAAAAACACAGCACUGUGCAAACACGAAAGUGGACGUAUACGGUGUGACGCCUGCCCGGUGCCGGAAGGUUAAUUGAUGGGGUUAGCGGUAACGCGAAGCUCUUGAUCGAAGCCCCGGUAAACGGCGGCCGUAACUAUAACGGUCCUAAGGUAGCGAAAUUCCUUGUCGGGUAAGUUCCGACCUGCACGAAUGGCGUAAUGAUGGCCAGGCUGUCUCCACCCGAGACUCAGUGAAAUUGAACUCGCUGUGAAGAUGCAGUGUACCCGCGGCAAGACGGAAAGACCCCGUGAACCUUUACUAUAGCUUGACACUGAACAUUGAGCCUUGAUGUGUAGGAUAGGUGGGAGGCUUUGAAGUGUGGACGCCAGUCUGCAUGGAGCCGACCUUGAAAUACCACCCUUUAAUGUUUGAUGUUCUAACGUUGGCCCCUAAUCGGGGUUGCGGACAGUGUCUGGUGGGUAGUUUGACUGGGGCGGUCUCCUCCUAAAGAGUAACGGAGGAGCACGAAGGUUGGCUAAUCCUGGUCGGACAUCAGGAGGUUAGUGCAAUGGCAUAAGCCAGCUUGACUGCGAGCGUGACGGCGCGAGCAGGUGCGAAAGCAGGUCAUAGUGAUCCGGUGGUUCUGAAUGGAAGGGCCAUCGCUCAACGGAUAAAAGGUACUCCGGGGAUAACAGGCUGAUACCGCCCAAGAGUUCAUAUCGACGGCGGUGUUUGGCACCUCGAUGUCGGCUCAUCACAUCCUGGGGCUGAAGUAGGUCCCAAGGGUAUGGCUGUUCGCCAUUUAAAGUGGUACGCGAGCUGGGUUUAGAACGUCGUGAGACAGUUCGGUCCCUAUCUGCCGUGGGCGCUGGAGAACUGAGGGGGGCUGCUCCUAGUACGAGAGGACCGGAGUGGACGCAUCACUGGUGUUCGGGUUGUCAUGCCAAUGGCACUGCCCGGUAGCUAAAUGCGGAAGAGAUAAGUGCUGAAAGCAUCUAAGCACGAAACUUGCCCCGAGAUGAGUUCUCCCUGACUCCUUGAGAGUCCUGAAGGAACGUUGAAGACGACGACGUUGAUAGGCCGGGUGUGUAAGCGCAGCGAUGCGUUGAGCUAACCGGUACUAAUGAACCGUGAGGCUUAACCUU
rnacentral:rRNA from 1 species